CCAAUAAGUGAAGUACUCAUUAGUUGGCUGGGAGUUCAUCGAAAGAGAAAUGAGCCUGGGUGAGCCUGACCAAAUCAGAUUGGGCUGUGGAGGAUUCCACCUUCACAAGCUGUGUGAUCUCAAGCAACUGGCUUCACCCCGGGAAUCUCAGUUUCCUCAUCUGUCAAAUGGGGCCCCUCCCUUGCGGGGUGGUCCUCAGUGCCCACAAGACAGUGCAACAGAAGAGCUGAGCAGAGGGACCAGCCAUCGAUGAGAAACUGAGGCUACAAAAGGUCGCUGGCGUGUCACAGAGUACAACCCUCGGAGGCUGAGGGAACCCAGGCUUAGGAUGGUGAAAGGUACCACCCAAGGUCCCAGAGGUGGGAUUUGAACCCACUUUCACUGCACCAAAGCCGAGUCUUAACCACCAAAGGAUACUUCGUUCUCCCAUCUUUUCUAGCCAACCUCUGCAGUCAGCAUCCUGGCACGCCAAAACCUGUCAUGCAUGCACCAUGUGGCUUUAGGUAACUCACACCAGCUCUCUGAACCUCGUUUCUGCCUUUGUGUAAGAGAGAAUCGACCUAGCUGCAUUCCGGCAGCAUUUCCCUCAGCU